rnacentral:lncRNA from 1 species
UUUCAUGAGGCGAAUGUUAUAAAUUAUUCUUUUUUUGAUAAAUUAUAAGUAGAUCAAUUCAUGAUGCGAAUGUUAUUUUGAUGUUUAACAUAUAUAUCCUCUACUUUGAAAGCAAGUAUUGAUUGCCUUCGGCUGUUGUCUGCUCUAUUGUCGGGUUGUUGUAUUUUUUUAACAUUCCCCAUAUCAAUUCUCAAUUUUAUUUGCAGAUAAAUCUAUCCUGGCUAUCCUCUUACGUCUUUAAGUGUCAACUAGAAUAAAAGUAUUAUACUAUUGCCUUCAAAGUGGACACUCACAGUUAUAAUUCAUCAGAUGAAAAAAUACUGAAUAGUGUUUGAUGACUACUGCAUGUGUGUUUUAAAUGGUAUAAAGGAAACAUAAAAACUAUGCAUCUGGGGUCAGUUUCACAAAGCUGUCUUAGGACUAAGACAUGUCUUAGGAUUGUCUUAUUACAUAUCUUACUCCCGGAGAACCUGAGAUCACCCCAAGUUUUUGGUGGGGUUCGUGUUGCUUAUUCUGUAGUUUUUUAUGAUGUAUCAUGUGUACUAUUGUUUGUCUGUUUGUCUUUUUCAUUUUUAGCCAUGGUGUUGUCAGUUUAUUUUCAAUUUAUGAGUUUGACUGUCCCUCUUUUACUCCCAAGUGGGUUUCACAAAGUAUUCCUAAAUUUUAACAUCUCUUUAAGUUGGGACAACACGAGAGGUGUCUAUGGCCGUAUGAUAGUCAUCAAAUUAUUUAUACAUUUUUUGUACAAAUUACACUCAUUUAUUAUCUUAUCAUCAAUUUUCAUUUUUCUGCUACUUUGUAGGUUGACGGAUUAUUAUGAAGUGCCAACAAUCAACCUUCAAUGUAUUGAUUUUAACCAAUGAUGCACCAUUUUAUCCUUGAACCUUAUCAUGACUGAUACAGUGAUACCUUUUAUGAUAUCUUUGCUAAGAUCAUCCCAAGACAGCUUUAAGACGAGGUCUGAGAUAUGUACAUAGAUAGUCAUAAGAGGAUCAUAAAACAUGUCCGAACUCCUAAGAUAUAUUUUAUGACAGGUCUUAGGAACGCUUCGUAAUACCGACCCCUUGACAUUAACUGUAUCAGAAAAGGACAAAACACACUAACAUGAAUGAAUAAUAAAAGUGUACAAGUUGAAACCCUUUUUAAGCAAUAGAUAGUACAUGUUAUAACAUGUACGAGGUACUUUUGUAAAUUUUAUAACUUGUAUUUUUGCAUUAUACAAGUUGUAACAUGUACAAUAUUUUUGUACAUUAUAUAACCUGUACAAAAUCGCAACUUGUACACGACAUAUUUAUAGAUGUGUAACAUACCGAAUGUUGUGAUGGGAACAAGUCUUAUAUCAACCCCAUUUGAGAUCUCCAACAUGUAUAGAACUUUGUUUCUAGUUUCAGUACAGUAUUUCUACAAUUUUCUGUGUGGAUCUUCCUGUCAUAAACAGGUAUACAUACAAAAGUUUUAUUUUUCUAUCAGAGAUAAAAAAAAUGCUCUUGAAAACAAUUUCAUUUUGUUUUAUGGAUAUCGGUAAACAACCAUGUUUUGACUGUCAUAUUCGUCUUCGUUUUUUGUUUAUUGCAUGUUUUAGUAUAGCAUAAAUCAGACAGCAUAUUUACAGAUUUGAGUUCUCGUACAUUUUAUGAUGGUUAGUUUAAAAAAAAAAAGAAGAUGUGGGAUGAAUGCCAAUGCGACAACUGUCUACAAGAGACCAAAAUGACAUUAGUAACUAUAGGUCACCAUACGACCUACAACAAUGAGCAAAGCCCAUACCGCAUAGUCAGGUAUAACAGUCCCCAAUAAGACAAUGUAAAACAAUUCAAACGAGUAAAACUAACGGCCUUAUUUAUAUAAAAAAAAAAUGAACGAUAGAAAAACAAAUAUGUAACACAUAAACAAACGACAACCACUGAAUUACAGGUUUCUGAAGAUUUAGAUUUUUUAGAUUUCACUCUAUACGGCAUGGGUUGUACUCAGUGUUGAAGAUCGUCUUAAGGUUACUUAUACAUGUAGCUGUUUGAAUUUAAAUCCCCGCUCUUUGUACUCUUAGGACAACUUGAAGAAUUUGAACAUGAGUUUCUUUUUAAAAGUUAAAACGCCGGGAUAAAACAAACUUCCAGGUUUAUACUUUUUUUAUAUAUAUUAUUAAGUUCUAUGAACGAUCAUUUACUAAUGUUAAUAUUCCGGAAUAUAAGACCGAUAUUCAUUUUUUCUAACAUGUAUACAGA